rnacentral:rRNA from 1 species
GACGAACGCUGGCGGCGUGCUUAACACAUGCAAGUCGAACGGAAAGGCCCUGCUUUUGUGGGGUGCUCGAGUGGCGAACGGGUGAGUAACACGUGAGUAACCUGCCCUUGACUUUGGGAUAACUUCAGGAGACUGGGGCUAAUACCGGAUAGGAGCUCCUGCUGCAUGGUGUGGGUUGGAAAGUUUCGGCGGUUGGGGAUGGACUCGCGGCUUAUCAGCUUGUUGGUGGGGUAGUGGCUUACCAAGGCUUUGACGGGUAGCCGGCCUGGGAGGGGUGCCGGCCACAUUGGGACUGAGAUACGGCCCAGACUCCUACGGGAGGCAGCAGUGGGGAGUAUUGCACAAUGGGCGGAAGCCUGAUGCAGCAACGCCGCGUGCGGGAUGACGGCCUUCGGGGUGUAAACCGCUUUCGCCUGUGACGAAGCGUGAGUGACGGUAAUGGGUAAAGAAGCACCGGCUAACUACGUG